UUGCGAGAGGGAUGUUUCUCCAUGUACCUUGAUGCACUAACAGAACUAGUCAAGUGGUUUCAUGCAAUGGAUCAUACCCAUUAUGCAAGAUGGAUUCCAGUUCACCUGAGGGACAUGGCUGAACUACCAAGGACACACCCGAGCGUAGCUCAAGCAUUCAGGGAAGGCAAGUUCACUGUCCAGAAGACCAAUAAUGUGUUUUCCUCCAUGGCCAUCGACCAGGCUCAUGAGCAGAUGAAUGCUUGCAUCAAAGGAGAUGGUGGGGCUGUGGGCCUCACUGAUAACCCAUCUGCACUAUUGCGAUGGAUGGUAGCAGGACCAGAAGUAGCCCGAUCCAUACAGGAAUUUGAGAUUAGUUAAAAAAAAAUCAGAUAACACACUUCACCAUGAUCAAACAACAAGUGCCCAGAUCUCAUUCAUCAAAGAUGUACGGUCUUUGGUCAGGGUUAAGAGGGAUGGCCUGUGAGCGGCUGGAAACAGUGAUGACCAACCAGAAAAACCAGUCUUCUUUUAUCUUUUUUAUUCUUAAAUACAAAAGGGAGCCCAGUACUCAAAACCAGUUCCAAGAAGUAGCUCAGCCUCCACCAGCAGCCGCACCCAAAUGAGCCAGCUGGCAUCACUUUUGUCCUCUGUUCCUGAUUGGACUGAACCACUUCCUCCAUUGCAGGUGUUUCUCCCCUAUCAUAGAUACAAACAUUUUAAAAACUACCUUUAAACUUCACAUACACACACCUAAAAAACCCCUGUCUUUAAACAAAUGCUAAAACACUUUUCAACACUUAAACCUCAAGCUACCAAUACCCCCCCCCCCCCCCCACCCCCAUCUAAUGGACUCUCCCAGAGCCUUUAAGUGACAUCCAGGCUUGUAAGAAAAGUUUUGCCUGAACACCCUGGAGAGGGCACCAGAUAGGUGAGUCAAGAGGCCUUUUGAAUCAACUUCAUCCUACUCAUUUACCCCCAUCUGACACUGAAGUCUCUCAAUAUUCUCUUUCACAGGAUCUGAAAGACAAAACCACAUAUAUUACUAAAUACUCCAAUUCCCAAUAAAGAAUCAUUUG